GGCGAAGUAGCUCAGUUGGCGAGAGCAUGCGGUUCAUACCCGCAGUGUCGGCGGUUCGAGUCCGUCCUUCGCUA
rnacentral:tRNA from 1 species